rnacentral:rRNA from 1 species
UACGUAGGGUGCAAGCGUUGUCCGGAAUUAUUGGGCGUAAAGAGCUCGUAGGCGGUCUGUCGCGUCUGCUGUGAAAACUCAGGGCUUAACCCUGAGCUUGCAGUGGGUACGGGCAGACUAGAGUGCGGUAGGGGGAGACUGGAAUUCCUGGUGUAGCGGUGAAAUGCGCAGAUAUCAGGAGGAACACCGGUGGCGAAGGCGGGGUCUCUGGGCCGUAACUGACACUGGAGGGACGGAAAGCUAGGGG